rnacentral:tRNA from 1 species
CGGAGGAUUCGCCUAGAGGCCUAGGGCGCACGCUUGGAAAGCGUGUUGGGUUCACACCCUCACGAGUUCGAAUCUCGUAUCCUCCGCCCA